GGGGCUUUGCAUCCUAGCAGAGUUUGAUUUUGAUAGAGUAAGAGAGGCACAUAUAUCUUUGUGCCUAAGGCUGAUAAAAUAGGAAUCACUCCCAGGAAACUGAUGUAUGACUGGAACAGAGGUGAAAGCAAUGAAAGUCCCUACUGCUGCAAAUCCAAGCUAGAACGAUCUUGCAAUAUAGUUCUGGCUACAUUUGAACCCACUACAGCCCAGGCUGGCCUCAAACUUGCAGCAGUCUUCCUGCCUCUGCCUCAUGAGUGCUGGGAUUACAGAUGAGGAACUUUCUUGGGCCAGGAAGUAAUGAAACUACAUUUGAAUCCGAGUGGGUCUCCUGCAGUGCUGCCUACCCACCUUGGAACGUGCGUAAAGACCUUAGGAAAAAGAGGCCGGACAAGAUGAGGUCAUUUUCCUUGUUAUGCUUACUCCCGGGACAGUAGGGAGAGGCGGGUGCGCCUUCUGGGAGUCCGGACCUUCGGCUGCAGUCCCGCGAACACCCACAAGGUGGCGCCAGGUCAGGCUGCACAGCCACUCCAGGAAGUGGGCGUCGGUCGGGAGUCGGGCUGGGGAGCCCCCUUCCUCACUCCAUCUAGGGUUCCCAGGCGCCGCGCCCAACGCUGGUGGUGCCCGUCUGUGGAGGCGCAGUUCUGUGGGUCCAGCCUAGGAACUGGGUCCAGCCCAGGUACCUCGGCAGCAGGUCAGUGCCCAGCUCCUUUUGGAGCCUCUGGGGCAGUCAGGUCACCACGCAGAAGCUCUGGGUAAUUCUCCGCCAGAAGUUGUGACUGCGGCUGCUGAGAGCCACCUCCACUGCCUCCUGGAAGACGGCGUGGACAUUGUCGUGGAGCCGCGCGGAACACUCGAGGUAGGCCACUGCGCCCACGGACCUCGCCAUCUCCUGGCCCUGCCAGAGAGGGGUACAUGGGGCGCAGUGAGCUGGGGAUGCCAGGUGGGCCUCAUGUCUGCCCUCCAAGCCCUAUUAGCUGUCUCUUCUCCGGAGUCUCCCUCUCAGGGCAACAGUAGAGGUCCCCCUCAUCUCCCCACUGAAUCCAGGGUGUGCUCUACCACUGAACUUUAUUCUCACCCCCUCCCCGUUAAAAGACAGGGUCCCACUAAGUUGCCUAGGAGGGACUCAAAUUUGGGAUCCUCCUGCUUCAGCCUCCCAGACUGCUGGUAAUAUAGGCAUGGGCCACCAUGCCCCGCUAAGGUGGCGGUUUUCCAGGGUACCCUUAGCUCCUGCACCCUAAAUGUUCUUAAGCAUUUCAUUAUUUCCCCAGCGCCUCCAGGGUCUCUGCCUCUCAAAAGACUUACUAAUGGACUUCCGGCUAACCCAGGUAGGCAGCAGAGAGGCCUGCAGACUGAGUCGCUGCAGGGACUCUGGAGGACCAACUCGUGUGUGCACAAUUCCUGGUCUUGGAAGUAGCAUUUCCAAGUGCUGGCAGCUCCUGCUCCUUGACAGCCUCCAAGACAACCCUGAGUGUGCCGCAUGCAUAGUCCAGUGGCACAGGAUCUAGGGGUGCCCGCUCCCCCUUCCGGCCUCCUACCCUGUGGUAGGUCACUGGCUCCAGCCUGUUUUUCCGCAGCUUGUUCACUAGUGCCUCGUCCUUGCGCAGGUCGGUCUUGCAGCCCACCACAAUGAUGGGCACUCUCUUGCAGAAGUGAGUCACCUCUGGGUACCACUGCGGGGGCAGGAGGGGGUCGGUGCAUGAGCCAUUGGAGUCCUGUCCAUCUCAGUGGACCACUCUCCUGCUCCCCUGAGGAGCAGGUACUCAGGGCCAAGCUCUGAUCUAAGUGUGCUCUCACUAACCCCAGGGUCCUAACCGAGAUUCUCUAAUCGAGCCCACUGUACAGAUGUGGUCGGUCACCGAGGCACCGAGAGUGGCUGGGUAAGUUGGUCUUGCCACACAGUUGGGAAUGGCAGGACUUGAGCCCUGUGGGGCCCAGAGCCCUGCUUCUCCCCAUCCUCUCUGCGAGGUAAAACUCUCACUGCCACUUCUCCAAAAAGGUCAAAUAUGUACUUAUUUAAAAAUAAGUCAGCUUGCAAAGUGGUUGCAGCAGCUGGUGUCUGCCUCAACUGCGGGAGGGAGGGCCCUUACCGCAUGGCACAGCUCUGUGGAAUGGAGGCCACCAGGAAUGGGUUAUUUUAGCCUGGACCACAGCUGGGGUGCCAGGGAUCCAAAGGGGGCUUUCCAUCCCCAGAAGCACUCACAGCUGAGUGUGCCUGUUUCGGAAAAGACCGGCUCAUAUCGUCUGGCUCCUAAAGCCACAAUGGGGCCCAGGCUGGGUGCUGGGCAGGUACCCCACACUCCCACCCAUGCAUGACAGCUGUCCUUGCAAAGCUCCUGGGCAACGCCACUUAAAUCCAACAGGGAGUUCUCAGCAGGCUCCUACCUGAGCCCUGUACCAGCCUUGAUACCAGGAUCUGCCCUCCUCUGCCUCCAUGGCCAGGGCUUUAAGGUACCCAGGACCCCUCUCCUGGCUCCAGGGUCUUACUAGUCCUCUCCUCCUCUCCCAGGGCUUGGACAGUGGUCUCCCCUCUCAGCUGGCUGCUCUCAUUCCCUGUCCUGUACAGGAACAGGCCUGGCUAGCAGCUCUUUAGUGGCUUCCCCAGGAACGACAGGCUUCAGCCUCCGCUGGCCUGCGGACACAUGCACUGGGGUGACAUCCCCACUGGGGUCAGGCCUCCCACUGCCACCCCUGCCCUCCCAUCCACAGCCCAAGAAGGGGCCACUCUGCCUGCCCAUUGUCUGGCCCCAGCUUCCCCCUCCUACCCAUGUUCAUUGUAUCAGCAAAACUCAGUGGCUUUGCCCUCCCAGCGGAUUCAGAAUAGAAUCUACACCCUCUUACUGCUGCCACUGUUGGCAUCCUGGUUCCAGGCACUGUUCCUCUUGGUCCAAAAUGCCCAGAACAGCACCUGGCCAAGUGAUGUGCUCAUUCAGUAACUCUAAAUACUGGACUGCCUGAGUUCAAGUCCUAGAGUUGCCACUUUAACAGAUAGAUACCUUUACACAAGUAAUUCAAUCUGGGAAUAAUAAUAGUAUCUAUACCAUCAGGUUGUUAGGGAGAUUAAAUGAGAAAAAAAAUUGCAAGUGUCUAGUACAGUGCCUGGCACAUAGUAAGUUUUUAUUUUUUCCCUUAGUACAGGGGAUUGAAACCAGGACCUUUGCAAUGAACUACAUCCCUAGUCCUUUUAAAAAUCUUUUUCUUUUGAGACAGCAUCUCAGUAAGUCACUAAGUUGCCCAGGCUGGGUUUCAAUGUGCCAUCCUCCUGCCUCAGCCACCCAGAAUGCUACAGUUAUAGGCAUAUGGCACCAAGCCUGGCCCAUAGUGUGUUCGUUCGUUCUCUUUCUUUUUUUCUUUCUUUCUUUCUUUCUUUCUUUCUUUCUUUCUUUCUUUCUUUCUUUCUUUCUCUAUUUCUCUUUUUGAGACACGGUUUUGCUAUAUAGUUCAGGCUGGCUGUGAACUCACUUCACAGCCCAGGCUGCCCUCAAACUCACGUAAAUUCUCCUGCUUCAGUUCCCAAAUGCUGGGUUUACAGGAGUGCACCACCAAGCCCAGCUUCAUAGUGAGUUCUUAAGAACUGUGGCUGCAGCCAUUCUGGUUGUUAUUGCUAAAAUUGUCCCUGGCUAUGUCCCAAGGAACCUUCGAGUGUACUAUCUUUCUGGAGGCCUGGAAGCACUGAGUGAUCCCUGUGCCGUAGCUGGGGCAGAGGGACUCAGGCAGUAGUACUCUAAUGCCUGUGAGCCGCCUCAGGGACCCCGCCUCACUGGGAGCAUCUGGGGGGCCACUGACAAGUGGAUGGGAGGGGUGCUGCCUCAAGCUGCUGGAAUCUGACUCUAUGCCGCAAGUAACCUUGGGCAGCCACAGGAGACCCCAGAUCACCCAGUAUUCACAGACACAGUCCCCAUGGCGAGAGCCCCAGCACUCUUUCAGCACCGGACUGGGGACUCAGAGGGCAGACCCUGUCACAAGUUCCUGUGUGACUCUGAGCAACUCCCUGCCCUCUCUGAACCUCACUUUCUUCAGAUGGACAUUAGACUCCAUGUCAUUUAAGGCUUGGAAAGCACUGACAGUUGGCUGAGUCAAAGGUGGAGAGCUAAGUGGCCUCGCUCUGGCAACUGUGCCUCUCUAGGCCCCAGCACCUACCCGGUUGAAGACAUUUUCAAAGCUGUUUGGGCUGGUGACGUCGAAGCAGAGGAGCAGGACGCUGGCAUCGGGGUAGAACAGGGGCCGCAGGCGGUCAUAGUCGUCUUGCCCUGGGCAGAGUGUGCGGUCACUCUCUCCGAAUCUCCUGCCUGCUGUCAGGGAGCUCACUCCAGCAGACAGAGGCUUCUGGUGGGGCCUAGUUUUGGGCCUAGGUCAGUGUACCCUUGGGGUGAUGCUAACCUGGCCUGCCCAUGGGAUGCACCAGCCCUGGCCUAGGACAGCUAUUGGCUGAGAAGUCCUGUUCUGGCAGCAGUGGAGGCGAGGCAGAGACCAGGCCAGAGGCACUGGGACUCUGGGACUUUAUCGAACUCUCAUAUGGGCAGCGUCAGGAGGCCAGAGGGCAGAGGUCACAGUCAGGUAGGACUUAGAGAAUCAAAGCCAGUGUGGAAAGCUUGGGAGGCCCAUAAAACUAUUGGGUUCCAGGGCUGGGGACCUGCUCUGGGAUGGGGAGGCAGGCAGACACAGGUGCAGAACUUAGGGGGCUUAGGUUCCUGGGGGGCCCCAAUCCUGGCCAACACCUGUGCUUUGGAGCCAGGCUGGCCUCCUCCGCUCGGAAGGAGUGGGCUGGGCCUCCUGCACCCUGCCUGUCCCACUGCCCCCCACACUCACCUGCUGUGUCCCAGAUCUGGAGGUGCACGGGUUUGCCCUUCACGUGUAGGUUGACAGCAUGCCGCUCAAACACUGUGGGAGUGUAGCUCUGAGGAAGAAGGGGCGAAGCGGGCGGGCUGUGAGGAACCUUUGAGAGGGGCGGAGCAGGCCAGAGCCCAGGAAGGCCCCUAGCACUGCCCCUAGCUUGGGAGGCAUUGGCAUAAUUGUUUCCCGGCUGGUUUCUUGGUGGCCAACCUUGGGGGAGGCCUAGUGCCCAGUGGCAUCCAGGUCCUGACCCUCCCUGUCCUCCUAGUUCUUCUGGGUUACAAAAGGAGAAGGUUAUGUUGGGUGUGGUGGCACAUUCCUGUAAUCCUAGCACUCCUGAGCGAGGCUGAGGCAGGAGAAUCGCCAGUCUGGGCUACAUAGUGAGACCCUGUCUCAAAAACAAACGAAAAACAGGAGAAGGUGAAAGUCCCUGCCACAGGGUGUUGCUGUAUGGAGCCAGUGAGGGAUUCCAUGGAGAACCUUAGCACAGGGCCUGGCGCAAAACCCGCACUCGUAGAUGCCAGCUACUGGCAUUAUUUUUGUCCUCCUGGAUAGGAGGCCCCCCCACGGGGCUGGGAAUUGAACCCAGGGAUGCUCUGUUACUGAGCUACGUCCCCAAGCCCAGAUUUUAUUUUGAGAUAGUGUCUCAUUAAGUUGCCCAGGCUAGCUUGGAACAUGCAAUCCUCUGGCCUCAGCCUGUCAAGUAGCUGGGACUAGAGACAGAUGCCACUGUGCUUAUAAGUGGAACAGAUUCCCAUUUCUGAGCCUUCUUUCACCUGUCUCCUCCUUGUGGAAGCACAUUAGCCUUCAGUUAUUCCUUUGUUCCUUCUUUCAUCAUAUAUUCAUUCGGCAAACAUGAACAUCUUUUCUAGGCCCAGUUCUGGACAAUAAAGAACAUUCGUUGAAUAAGACCAACCCCCUGCCUUGGGGAAUAUUCAGGUUUUUUGGGUCCCUCUUUGCCUCUCAACAUACAUUUAUUUAUUUAUUGACACAGGAUCUCACUACAUAGCCCAGGCUGGCCUACAACUCACAGCGAUCCUCCUGCUUUGGCCUCCAAAUUGCUGGGAAUACAGGCAUAUGGUACCAUGCCCAGUGCCUUUCAACUUCUUUUUUUUGUCUUUUUUUUUUUUUUUAUUGGUACCGGGGAUCGAACUCAUGACUGCCUGCUUGCAAGACAGGCGCUUAUGCCGCUGAGCUAAAUCCCCAGCCCCUACCUUUCAACUUCUUGAAAAUCAAACGAGACCGCUGUGCAAUGCCAUCUUCCCCAAACUGGCUUCUGGUCCUCUUCCCCAACAUCCCAUGCUCCUGCUUCUUGGAAGCCAGCAAAGGCUCCUCUACUCCAGCCCUGCCUGGCUUCUGUCGUUCCCUUCACAUGAAGGCUGAACCAACAGGAAACAGGACAGAUUUUCUACACAGAUGAAAAGGCAGGGAUGAUGAGGGAGGUUUUGCAAAAUGCAGUCUGGCCAACAGGUAAGGAGGGCUUCCUCCUCCCCGCCAUGAAGUGAGCUUUGUGCCCUGAGGGGUGUGCUGGACCCCCUGCAGUUUGGGUCCCUAGGCCCUAUCACAUGCUCAGGGUUAACUGGUGGGGCCAGUCUUGGGGGAGCCUCAUCCAUCUCCUCAAGCCAGGUGCCCCCCACCCCUUUGUGAGUCACCAGUCAGCCAGCAGGAGCAGCAUGCUGGCAGUAGGUCAGUGCUGUCCUCCAGGCCGCCUGGGAGGCCCCAUAUGGGAGAAGUCCCCACUGGUAGGGCUGCCAUCUUGCGGUUCCCUCUCCCCAUGGAAACAGAGAGUGGACAAGGGCUCCACCCCCUCCUUGUCUCGGAGCUUUUCCCUUCCUUUCAGGCCCUCUGCCUCUUGGGGACAAUAUGACUUGGCAGAUAGGAGCACUGGCUCGGGGAUCAGAUGGGCUUGGCUUAGAAUCUGAUUUUGGGGUCCACCAGCUGUGUGGCCUUAACCAGUUCUGUCACUGGGCUGCCACAACAUAGUAGGGAGGAUGGACUGGCAGGUGAGGCCCCAGCAUGAAUGCUCACUAUUCAGCUGGUUGUCAGGGGCAGUGUCCCCACCAGUGUCCCUCUGUCCCUCUAUGUGGUGCUGUCUUCCCCAACCCUUCCCCAGCCUGACCUGUGGCCUGGAGCAGGGGUUUGCCAUUAGCCCGCCAUUGUGGACACAUGGCACCUCCCUCUAAGCUCCCAGCAUGGCCACGUUGUGAGCCCUCCCCACGUGCUGCAGGGUUGCCUGGCACGACGUUCUGGGAGACACAUGCCAGGGUUCUCCAUUUAUGCCCAUGGUGACCGUUCUGUUGCCCCCCACUUUCCACAGCCCUUUGUGGUUCCAUCUCUGAUUUUUACAAACUUGGACACUCAGUGCUGCCCUCGUUUUCUUAGUAAGGCCCAGAGAGGAGAAGGGAUUUGCCGGAGCUGAGGAAGCAUACUAGACCUCUGGCUCCUUAGCUUAGGUUCAGUCCCUAGCCACUUGCCUCUCCUGAGGUCUCUGGAGGUCUCUAAUUCCUAAGGGCAGGGAAGGGCUUGUGGGUCCCCUUUGGUUUAUGAAGGUCACUGCCCUCCCUGGCUCUGGAAUGUGACCCUGGGACUGUGGACAUUCUCUGUUGUGCUCUUUGAACCCAACCCGGGGAGGGCCAUCCUCUGCUCAGGGGAUCAGUCAUUGCCUAACCUUAUCAGCUGAGCCAAGGCAGGAGUGACUCAGCCCUAGGCCUGCCCUCAUGAGGCUUCUGACAGACAGGAUGAACACAGUUCAGGAGAGUGUGUCUGGGUUUCCCUGGGGGACACUUAGUGGAGACCAAGAAGGACCCAGCUUGUUCAGCAGGCAGGGCCAGGUGCUCCCGGCAGCCUCCCCCCCGCCCCCACCUGGUUGAGGCCACUGGGCUUGGGCCCUGCGGGAGUGGUCAUGUUUCCAAAUGCCAGUCAGGACUGGGCAGCGGGCUGCCUUGCAGGCCUGGGGUCCCUGCCUGCCCUCUCUCCCCAUCCCUUCCUCCCCCUUGAGCCCACAGCUUGUUCUCUGCCGUCUGCUACAGUCAGGAAGCCUCGGAGACCCCAGGCCUGAGCAGGGCUGCCUGGAGAAGAGGCUGGGAGGCUGAGUCCAGCAUGCACAGUACUGAGGACUGUGACCAGGGCUGGGAAGGCCAUAGCAGGGCCAUGGGCCAGGAGGCAAGACUCUGCCUGUCUGACGUCACUGUUCUUACCUGUACAAUGAAGCCUGUCCAGCUUUUGAAUUUUAUGGUGAUUUAAAAAAAGAGGCAUCUCUUUGCACCAGGAGACCCAAGGUUCCCAGACAAGGACAGAACUCUGAUAAAGUGUGGAUCCCUGCAGUGACAAGCAUGCCCUCCUCUCCCCUGGCCACCCCAGCAUCUGCUCUAAGACAUUCACAGUUCUUGGGCUGCAAGGCACCCACUCUGCAAUUAGGAUGGCUGUCUCCACCAACGCUGUGACCAUCAAGCGGAUCUGAUUCAGGAUGUCGUGCAGGCCCGGAGCUGAGCUGAGCUGAGCGCUUGACCUUUAUCAACUCCCUCCCCUGCUAACUCAGCCGCCAUCGCCCACCAGGACCACCUUGACGGACCUCACACUGGCCGGCGCCUCCUCGCCCGUGGCUUGGGCCGUCUUCAUCCCGGGUGGGCGGAGAGGGGCCCCGGCGCGGAGCGGAGCUGCGGACAGACGGACGGCGGGCUGCGCGUAGUGGCGGGCGGGUGCGGGGCAGGCCCGGCGGGGCAGGAAUGUGGAAGGGGCGGGGCGGCGGGAGGAAGUGCGAGCCGGCCGGCGGCUGUCCCCGGUGGGUGGCGCGGUCCCCGGCCCAGGUAAGAGGGCUCAGUCCGUCAAGGGCACCCGGCGAGUGGCGAGGCAUGCAGAGCUGGGUGGGGACGCUUUUCCUCGGGUCCCAUUCAGUCACUCAAGCAACACUUGUUGAGCACUUACUGUGUGAGGGCACGGAGGCACAGGAAGGCAUCCUGGACUUGUAGCUGAAGUGAACGAAGGGUGGGCGCGGGCCAGAGGAGGAGGCACCCCGCUCACUUUCUCUGGGAGGAAGGAGGUGGCGCUAAGGGUGGUGACCUUUGCUGAAUGAAUGAAUGCAUGUGCAUUCCUGCGGGCCCAGGUGGUUCAGGCUGGAGGAAUGGGGUGGCUGACUAUGCCCUUGUGGGCCAGUGUGUUGGUACUACCAGGCCUCCUCUGCCCUGCCCUCCUUAACCAGCACCAGGAAGCUUGUCUGCCCAUGGAUGAUCACCUGUGCCACCCUGGCUGGUGUGUGACCUAAGGUCAUUGACGGAAGCUUCCAUUUUUAAAGUGCUUAGGACACUACCCAGCAUAUGGUGGAGGCCAUGGGUCACUGUUAGAAUUCAAUCAACAGAGAUGAGCUUACAGGUUCCAAGAGCCUGAGGACCCUGGAUCAUUCAAGACACAGCCCCUGCCUUGGGGAGCUCAGAGCCUAACAUGCAAGCCCGGGAGGACAUCAGAGUGCUGGGGUAUCUGGGCAGAGGAACAGUGAGUGAGUGGGACAAGAGUGGGGAGAAAGGGCCCUUCACCCUGGCUGCAGAGUCAGGAAACCCUUCUGACCUGGGAGCCCAGGGUCUUGGGGGAAGACAAAGCCCAGACACGGAAGGGAAAAGGAUUUUCCAAAGGAGGGAACCCUAUUGCAAGGCUGGGGGGCCUGCCUGAGCAAACCCCUGCUUCCAGCCUUUCUGGAAGCAGCCAGAGGGCCAGGCUUAGCGAGACACUGUGGCUGCCAGGAAUACAUCAGACUGAAACUUGCUGUCCCCCUACCUUUCUCUCUCCCUCGGUGGCCAAAGUUUAAGUCUUUUAAACAUGGGCACAGUGUCAGCCCAGAGCAAUGGUGGUGAUCCCAUUAUCGUGUGUGUUUUUAAGACAAAGGUGUUAAUGUAUGGAUUUUUUUUCUCCUAAACUAGAACUUCCAGUUUAAUUGUAGUGUUGGCACUUUGUGGCAAAUAAGUGGGUUUUGGGUUGCAGUUUGGCACUCGUUUCUAAAAUGUUUUCUUUUGCUGCCUAGAGCUUGGACAUUGUAAUUCCACUAAAGCUUAAAGGAACAGGGGGCCCAAGUCUUUGGGUUUCUACUCUCAACCCCUAUGGAAUUCAAUGCCAGGCAGUUGAAAAUCUCCUUAAGUCCCCUUUGAUGUUGUUUUUCUUGGUGCUGGGAUUGAACCAGUACUAAAUUACAUUCCCACCCCACCCCUUUUUUCACUUAUUUUAAAACAAGAUCUCCUUAAAUUGUUAAGUUGCAAGUUUCCCAGGCUGGGCUCAAAUUUGUGAUCCUCCUGCCUCAGCUUCCUAGAGCUCUGGGAUGCCAGGUGUGUGGCACCAUGCCCAGUUUUAGCCCCCAUGGAACUUCACUGUGCCCCACAGGGGCAGUCUGGAUAGGAGUCACUGUUCCCAGAGCAGGGAGAGGUGGUGUCCAGCUCCCCAAUUCCUGUGCCUGGCCCACCUUCAGGGCUGUGGUCAGCAGGCUGGAUCAGGCCUCACCUGGAGGCAGGGUGCCUCCCCUGGAAGGUGCCACCCUUUCCUCCUCGAAACUGCUCUAGGGCUAGGGAGUGAGCAGGUACCAGGCUGGGUACUUAGCUCCCCGCCCCAAGGAGUGGUGAGGAAUGGGCCCUGUCCCCUGACAUCAGCUGCCAGCCUUCUUGUCAUUCCGUCUGCUCCCCACUGCCACAGUAGUCAGGCAAGGUGGGGCCGGUCGAGCGCGGAGGGAGCUCAGAGUUGGGCAGAGGCGGUUGUCCCUGGUUGCUAUAGGGAUAAUCACUCUAAUGACACACUUGGCGGCUGUCACGAAUUACAGUUUCUCUGAACAUUUCCUAAUAAUAACAGCACCCAUUAGUGGAUUGCAAACCACAUGCAGGCCGAGUUCCCCAGGAGGUAGGAAUUGUUAGCCCCAUUUUACAGAGGAGGAACUUGGGGCUUAGACAAGUUAGGUUCUUUUCUAAGGUUCACAGCUGAUAAGAGGCCAAACUGGCAUUUGGAUCCCAAUGUUACCCGGGAGCAGGACUCUCCUCCAGCAGCACACCAUAUGCGUUACAGCAUUUGGCACUUGAUGGUGAGGUGAGCUGGGCAACCAUCUGCUCCCCACCAACCCCCCUGAUUUUACAGGUUUGGGACUGAGCCUCAGAGAACGCUGCUUAUCUUAGGUCAGCAAGCCGCAGAAUCAGGAUGUGGUCCCUGAGGUGAAGCUCAGUCUUGUUCCCAUCUACUGCUUGUGCUUCCAGAGGAGGCAGAUUAGUCUCUGGGUUCCAGCCAUCAGCCCCAGUGGCAGGGGAUUCCCCCAGAUUUCAGACAUUGCUGGGCUCUGGACCACACUGUUGUCCUGAGUUUAAUUUUGGAGCAGGGAGGUGGCUCAGGUCACAGUCUGCCUGGCCAGGGUACCGCAAGCUGUUUUACUGUUUACUGUGGCUGCUGCUGACUUCCGGCCCUUGGGUGACUAAGUCUCUUUCGCACCCCUCCCCCCAAUUCCAAACACAGAGUCUUUAUAGUAAGUCCUGUAGGUCCCAGAAGAGCAAAAGUGGUCAAGUCCUUAGUCUGGCUUGUCGCUUCCUUGGGAUGCUGGUACCAGACAGAAUCUCAGCCCCCAGCCAGGCUGUGACCUUCUCCAGGGCAGGGACCACAGAUGGACACUUCCCAGCAGCUCAGGAUAUUGUGUCCAGCUGACUGCCUGACUGGACAAACAAGAGAAGGGAGGGAUAAGGACAAGUGAGGAAGAGAGGAGGAAGGAAGGAAGAUGGGCAGGCUCAGAAGAAAUUCAAGUAGGCUGGGCAUGGUGGCACAUGCCUGAAAUCCUAGUACCCUGGAGGCUGAGGCAGGAGGAUCACUGCAAGCUUGAGGCUAGCCUGGGCUACAAAGUGAGUUCAAGACCAGCCUGAACCGCAUAGUAAAACGGUGUCUCAAAAAGAAAAAAAAAAGGAAAGAAAUUCAAGAAAUGAGCAAAGGAGCAAAUGCUUGCAAGGAUCAUCCAUGAUUAGGGUGGGGAUGGUCCUUCAGACAAGGAUCUCUGCCUCAUUUUGUCUCCUCCCGCACCUCCCUGAGGCCAGAAGUCAGAUUGUCCCAUUUAUUCUCUGCUGCCCCCUUGUGGCUUCUCUGCUCUCUGCACUGUUGUCAUCCAGCCCUUCUGCUCUGUCUCUGGUUCCUAGCUAUGGAUGUAGGAUUAGGGUUAGGGUUGUGGGAGGGUGAAUAAGAGGGCGUUCUAAGUGAUGCUAAGGGGGCAGAACUUCAGAGGUCCAGUCCUGCCCCUUGGGAUGCCAUGGUAGGGCACAUGGACCUUGGAGUGUCGUUUCGCCAAGGCUUGGCCUUGUUACCUGUCAUGUGCUGGACACGGCAUGUGAUUCAAUUCCUCUCAUGAGGUGUGUGCAAGGCUCCUUUACAAACUAGGAAACACAGGCCUAAGAUGAUGCAUAAUUUGUUUAAGACCCCAUGGCUGGCGAGUGGAGGAACUGGAGCUUGAACCCAGGCAGUUGGGUUCCAGAGCUGCCACUCCCCUCUAAGCCAAAGGUGUGGGGGGAGGGCUUUGCUGGCCUUCUCCUCCAAAACCUUGUUUCUUCAGAUGAGGAAACUGAGGCCUCGAGAGAGGAAGGAACAUGUCACUCAGCAUGUAAGCUGCAGACCUAGGUCUGUGCCAGGCAUGGACCCACAGGCUGUUUUUCUCCCAGCAAAUCUACCUUUUACACUGCCACAGUCAGCUGUCCUGGGUGGCAUGGGCAGACUAGCAGUUGGGCAGAGAGAGUGAGGGUGCGCUGUGGGUUGGUCUCAGUGCUUAUGUAGCCUUUUAACUAAUCUGUCCCUUGGGGUGUCUGCAGGCAGAGAUGAGGGUCACAGGUGGGGAGAGGAGUGGCUGCAGUACUGCAGUGGCACCUCGUUUCCUCCAGCCGCACUGGCCUGGUCCAGGCAGUGGCCCUGGGCGGGUCAGUGACUUACACAUCUGUCUUUCUGGGUGGAGCCCCAGACUGGGGGAGUAGCGGAGAGGAAAGGGAAGAGGGCUGGAGGUCUGAGGACGAUCGGGAUAGGUGGAAAGGUUAGGGCAGAGAAGGGGGACAGCUUCUCUCGGCCUCGGUAGCCCUGCUUCUCUCCUAAAGGUAAGAACCUUGCUGAGCGGCCCCCAACCUAAAAGGAGCUCAGAGGCCACCUUCCUGCCCCUUGCAGGAGCAAGGCUUGCUGAUGGUCCUCUGUGUCCCCUCUGCAGCUCCUUAGAGUGACCCUCAGCCUGCCUGGACCUGCUCCCAGCCAGAAACCACACCCCCCACUGCCACCAACAGGAUGGAAACUUCUGUUUUACCUGGGCUGCUGGAAGCCCUCAUGGCCCCUCUCCUUGGCUUCUGAGCCUCGGUCCAGUUAUCUCCCAGACACGGCUGGUCUCCUCUGCUCAGGUGCUCUGAGGCUGUUGCCCACACCCCUGCCUGCUCCAGGAGCCUCUGGUCUCCACCUUGCUCAUGGAUCCCUGAUGGCUGUCUAGUCAGUUCUCUGUUCACCCAGACAUGCUGGCGGCGGGGGUGGGGGUAGGGGGUGGUCCCCAGAGCUCUUCACAGUCAGCCAUGUUGGGGAAGGCCUCUCUUCACCCUUGCCCAUGUCUGAUCUUCCAGGGAAGAGGUCAGAACAUGCUGGCACCCCAGAGACUUUCUCUGCUGUCCCUCGGGCCCACUUUGAGAGUCAGGGAAAGGGGCUGUAUUGUCCAGUGGCCAAGAGCACAGCUUCAGACAGCCUUGGUCUGAAUCACCGUCCUGGGACCUUGUGGCUGUGUGAUCUUGGGCUAGUCACCUAAGUUCUCUGAGUUGGUUUCUACAUUUGUGUGAAGGGGAUGCAGUAGCAGCACCUACCUGCUUGUGAAACAGGGUCACAGGCUGGGCACCUGUCACCUGUCACUCCACAAGCAGGGCCCCUCUCUCCUUGGGACCUGCCCUCUAGCUCCAUUCUCUGCCCCACCCCCCCCUGCUCUCACAAAGUGGAUGAAUCACUCCAAUUUUGCUCACCCCUACCCUUUGAUACGUGUUACUCUCUACCAGAAAUCUUUUCCUGCCUUACCCACCUGACAUGUCCUUUUAUAGCCUGGGGGCUCAGCUGAGUGCUGCCAGCUACAGUCUUCUGUAAUUUCCCUAUCACCAUCUUCCCUUGCCAGGACUGGCUCAGGGUUCCCUCAGAGCUUCCCAGUGAGCCGAUGAAGUUGUGCUGGUCUCCCCAGCCAGGCAGAGCCUGCAUGCCUCUUUGGACACCCAGAGCAGGGAGGAAGGGCAGUCAUCCCCAUGGGGUCCAAGACCCUGCUUCUGGAGAAGACACAAAGAUGAUUGGGACUGAGCAGGGCUCCCUAGAAGCCCCCUUCCUGCCCCAGCUUUAUUUGGUUCUAGAAUCAUUCCAGUCAGCAUUCUCAGUUCCCACCACGGCCACCCUGGCUCCAUGGUCACCAUUUCAUGCAGUUAGGAGGGAGAUAUGAGGGAAGAGAAGGUAGGAGGACAUGGCCUUCCCUACAAGGCCCCAGCGUUCAAAAGGUUUUGGGGUCUCCCAGGCUACAGGGGCUCCCCAGCCAUGCAUGUCCCUGUGCUGACCUGGUGGUAUCACGAGGUCCUGUUCCAGUCCCACAACCCUCUGAACCCUGUUCAAGCCAUCUCUUGCCAUGUCAUUGGUGACAGUGGCCUGGGUCUCCGUAGCUCACUGGAGCUAAGGAACAGGACAGCCAGCCUGAGAGUUCCUCACUUACCCGUGGGUGGCCCCAGAUCAGACACUGCUACUGUACAUCCCAUUCCUGACCCUCUAUCCCUUUAUCCCUGAAGGGACUCCCCUCCUUCAGUAGAGAGGUCCUCUGGGUCUGCCUUUGCUAGAUGACAGCUGCUGCUCCUCUAGUGACAGGUGCAGGGAGUAUGACACCAUCACUACACCUGGAGCAGGGGCAGAAGCCAAAGACUGAUGUACCAACCCAGCCCUUUUGCUUCUGGGCAGGAUCCCCAGGCUGCUGUUCUCCCCUCCAGAGCACCCCAUUGCCUUUGCUAACAUCUGUUGAACUCGAAGGUUUAGGGAAUUUGACCCAAGAUGCCCAGUGUCCCGGAGACUGCAUCCAGGCUUGCCCAAGGCGUCUCUUCCUGGCAGAGCCUGGUCCGCUGGUGGAGUAGAGGCUGAUUUUGCACAGGACCUGCACAAGGACCUUGCUAUUGGCCUAUGCACUUCUGGUUUUUGUGUGAUGGUUGAUGCUCCAGGCGAAUAUUUCAUGGACUGUAACCCUGGAACUCCGAUGUGGCCUGAAGCCUUCUGCUCGACUCUGGUCUCUUGGUCUCUUUUCCAACCCAGAAGCAGGCUCUUGUCCCCACUGUGUGAACUGAGGACUGUGCUUGUGUCAGGAAAGUUCAGAAGUUCACUUUUUUGCUACUCCUUGAGCUGUGCCUCUGCCUGGGUUUUUCCUCCACCCCGCAGAGCACAGCUCCUUCCUGUCAAUGGGGCCCUCCCUGUCCCCCAGUUCCCAGAGCCCACUCUGAGUCCGCAUGGCUGGACUGCCCCUGGGCACUGAGCAGAUCCCCUGGGUGGUGGGAUCCUGACUUCCUGGUAAGCCGGGGGCUUCUUUUUGUUCAUGAGGCCCCUGCCACUGCCUAGCACAGUGCUGACUCCCGAGAAUCACCCAUUCCGGUGCAUGGCCAGCCUGACAGCUGGCCUCCGAGGAGUGGGGUGGGGAAGCUUGCCUGCUCUGGGAGCCAAGUCUUCCUGCAGGUCCAGGGGUGACUCUUGUGAGGACUUGUGAGGACUUCCGGAUGAUACACAACUGGCCAGCAUCUGCUGCCCUCUGGUGGGCCCUGGCCCAGCUAGAGCCAGAGCUUGUCCUCAGUGAGAGAAAACUCUGGUUUCCAAAUGUAGAGGUCCACCUGUUCCUCCACUAUAGUCUGGACAGAGGGUCCAAGAUGACUGAUGGGGACUCCACCCAGGAACCCCAGCAGUCAUGGCUCCAGCUGGGCUAUGAAGAGGGCUAUGGAUAGAGCUGAGUGUGUGCCAGGUCCCAGUGGCUGUGCUGCCCACCUGGCCUGCUCUGGCUGCUAGUUUCGCCGGACUGGGUGCCACAUGGACACGGGCCUGCGCAAUGUGGCCAGCAUCUGAUUCCAGUGUGUGGUGCCCAUGCCACUCGCCGAUGGCCCAAUGAUGACAUGGCCCACGUUGUCACCACGGCCGUCACUGCUGCUCUCGGCUACUGUCACACGGAGAGACAGGUCCUGGGAAGGAGGGAACAUGGAUGCUGAGGACCAAGAGUUGCCAGAGAUCUUCCUUGUCUCCUGGGUCCCAGCCUAUAAGUGUCCGGCCUCAUGGGGAGUCAGGCAAAGCUCCCUGAACCCACCCCCUGAUCUAGGACAUGAGAAGACUUGUCCAGAGCCACCUGGCAAAGACAUGGCAGAUGAGGAUUUGGCCUUCCUUCCAGAUAGUAGUGGCACCAGACCACCAGGGUUCAGACAUCAGCCUAAGCACUUCUUGUUGUGUGACCUUGGGCAUCAAUUUGGACUCUUGCUACCUGUGUCCCCAUGGUAAAAUGUGACAGGAUCCCUUACCUCAGAAGGCUUUCCAGGAGUGAAGUGAGUUAAAUGAGUGGAAUGAUGUCUGCCCACAGGCAGGGCUCCGUGCUCUGGGUAUCGCUAAUCCUUAACGGCAGUUGGAGUAGUGGCACUGUGAUUGCCCAAGAUGUGGCAAGGGUCAGAUGGGCAGUCUGUUCCACAAGGAUGGUAGGGCAAGGCCACAAUGCCCAGGAUUGGUGGAGAGGCUGGGACAUCGGUCUGGAUUCGGGACCCCCAGCAUGAGGCUGAGUUCUGGGCUUCCCUAUGCAGGUGGGGCAUCCCAGGAAAGGGAGGUCAAGUAAAUGCUGUAUAGCUCCAGGGCUAUGAUGCAGGUUUUGACCUAAGGCCUGGAGUGCUGAUGGCUAGAAGCAGAUAGUGAGGGGAGGUGGCGAGAUCACCAUCUUCUAAGGCAUGUAAUCAGGGCCACUGGUGUAGCCAAAGCUGUGUCUUCUGCAUUCCUUCACCAUGGUCUGUGAUGUUUCUGCUGGGAGGGGUCUCUCUAGGGCACAGGGUCUUCUAGAAGCUGUGGGGUGUGGGGAGCUGGGCAGGAUUGUUAUAGUAGGAGUUCAGGAGAUUGACCCUGGGGUUACCCCUGCUCCAGGGCCUACAGAUCCCUUCACUCAGCUGAGCUGGCCCAUCCUGCAGGAAGCCCUCACUUACUAAGGUCUGGGAUGCUCUUAGCAGAUUAACAUUAUCUGGGGACUUUCCUGCCUGUCCCUUGUAAGCACCCCAACAUCCACCCCAAGGCUGGCACCCAGCAGACACUCAAUAAAUGCUUCUCAACUGGUGGCAGGAGCCCACAAAGUGAAGCCAGGAGGUGCGGUGACCAAAGCCCAGGCUGACCUGUUCCCCCUCACCUGGAGCACAAUGGCUGGCACUGAGAAGAUCAUGGCUUCAUUGAACACUGGGUUGGGGUCAUCUCUCUUCACUGCUGUCUUCUUUUUGCUCAUCUUCCUCCCAUCCUGCAGCAGAUGAGAAGACUGAAGCUUGCAUGGCAAGUCAGGCAAAGGGCUGGACUUUGGAUUGGCAGCCUGCCUCACAGCCCACGCAUUUCCCUCACAUGAUGCUCCACGGAGCUCGGCAGACCCAUCACUUCCUGUUCUAUAAAUGGCUGAGCACAGACGUCAGCUGGCUGUGGGGUCCAGCGGGAUGGAGAACUUCUCAUCGAAGAAGAUGGAGUAGGCAUUCCUCUGGAUCUACAGCAAGAAAGGGCCGUGGCAAGCACAUGAAAGCUGAGGAGGAGGUAGCAACCACGGGUGUGGAGGCCGCAGCAGGGAGAGAGCACUGGACACUGAGCCCAGAGGCAGACUCCUGGCUGUCAUGUCCCCACAGUCUCAAUAACAAGCCUUCCUUAGAUGGCUCGGUUUUA